CAACAUUAGGGUAGGCGACAUUUAACGUAUAUCUAUGGACGCUAACUAGUAUUCACGUAUCAUGCUCAACUCUAUAUAUUUUUUUACGCACUUUGAGAGUGUUUGCGUUAUUUCAGAGAGAUAUUUAAGCACAUAUGAAGUAACAGUGCCGUCUGUGUACUAGUUACACAAUGCAGCAUUUAGCUCGCUCGUAAACAUCGCUGCUGUCCUCAGAUCAUUGUCUGAGCAAAAGUUUCAUCAUAAGCCAUGACUGUCAGAUGCUCUUCAUCUCAGGAGCUGUAUUUUUAGAUGCUUGAUAACAGAUAUAAGCGAGAAGAGGCUGAAUCCAAAGCCCGAGAAGAAGCAGAGAAACAGAGGAUCGAACGAGAGAAACACUUCCAGAAGGAGGAGCUGGAACGCUUGGAAAGAAAGAAGCGUCUGGAAGAAAUCAUGAAGAGGACUUGACGCAGGAGCACAGUAAUACAGAAAAAUCCGUCAGAAGCUCUUCAUAGUGGUGCGACAAACCAAUCACCAAUGAGCUCUGUGUCCUGGGACGCAGCACCGGUCAUUAAUGGAGCUCCGCCCACUAAGCAUCAGAAUGGACUGUCCUCCAAUGGAGACGCAGCAGACUUUGAGGAGAUAAUCAAGCUGUCCAAUCACAGUGGGAACAGUGGGCAGAGUCAACCGGCUGACCCAAUCAUGGCCUUCGAGGGAGGAGAACCGUUCAUGAUGAAGGCGUGGCCUAUGAAACCUCAACAUGUGGCAGAGGUGCUGUGAGAGAUGAGAUAUCAGAGUCUUCUGGAUAUGAAGAGAAGAAGAGAAGCCUUACUCUACCACCGCUUCCACCCUGAUGUGUGCCAAACCAACAAAAACAGACUGCUUUAACUUUAGAAACACAGCCAAGCCGGACGCGCUCUGGAGAAAGUGCCAGAUGACGACCUUAAAGAGACACUUAUAUACAUAUACAACAUUUGCAAAAAGUCUCUGUCUAUUUCAGUGUGUGUGUCAUGGUGCAACAUUUGUUGAGUUUCUUUAACAAGUCACCUGCCGAUCAUGUGGUGCACCUUAAAAGAGUCGCUAUAUAUUGAAUUUUAGAAAAGACAACUUGGCUUAUCUUUAUGAUAUGAAUUAUUGUUGUUGUUGUUGCUCUUGUUAUGAUGUAUUGUUAUCGUUCUUUUAAGUAGAGAAAAAAAGCAAACGUGUGUCUUGAACUAUUGCGUUAUUUAACGUGUGGCGCAUCAGAAGAGGCCGAUAUUCUGUAUGUUAAUGUAUAUUUGCCUGAUUAUGACAGACCUGUGGAAUAAAUCUUUAUGAAAGGG
rnacentral:lncRNA from 1 species